CGAUGCGUGGCUCAGCUUGGUAGAGCACUACGUUAGGGACGUAGGGGUCGCAGGUUCAAAUCCUGUCGCAUCGA
rnacentral:tRNA from 2 species